UUUUGCCGUGCAUGCCCUUAGGGYAUGUCACGUCAAYUACAAAGCGCUCAUGGCGUUGCCUCAUGUAGCURGCCGCAUAGGCUAGYGGCAUCAAGGCCACCUCAUGGAUGCUAUUGGUCUCGGAUGCGGCCCGCUUUAAAGGCURAAGGUGCCUUGGCACCUCAAGCCUACAAAAUAUUGUCCGUUCGGAAACAACGACAGUUGGCCUGGCUGAUGCCUCUUGCGGAAGCUAGUGCU
rnacentral:misc_RNA from 1 species